UAUGCUUCUCCUAAAGACUAAGCCAUGCAUGCCUUCGAAUAAGAAGAAGCAAUUCUCUCUGAAUCUGCGAACGGCUCCGCACACCAGUUGCAAACUAUAGCAAGCCCGCUUGCCGUACCUGCCGCAAGGUAUGGGCGGUAGGCAGAUGGAUAACCCUGGUAAUUCUGCGGCCAAUACAAGAAUGCAAAACCUCACUAACUGGGCAACCGGAAGGUGGGGGGACGUGCUCUUCAAGUUGCAAGUAUAACCGGGAAAGGGGGCACGUCACGACCGCGCUAAAAAGGAAGGUUGCUCUUCGGGGCUUCCCUCUAGCGGCUCUUGCUGUGUACUUCUGACCUAUCAACUAGAUGGCAGCGUAAGGGACAUGCUAUGGUUACAACGGGUACAGAGGAUUAGGGUUCGAUCCUGGAGAGUGGGCCUGAGAGAUUGCUCAUACUUCUAAGGAAGGCAGCAGGCGCGCAACGUUCCCAUUGGACAAUGUCUGAGGGCGUUAGGGGACAUAUGAAUGCCUGCCCAUUGGGUGGACAAUUCAAAUGGGUCUGUUGUAAACAGGCUCUCGAGUAACAAUUAGAGGA
rnacentral:rRNA from 1 species